UUCUCUUCCAUCAUGCUGUGGCCGACUGUGCUGUCGUAGGCAAGGAGGAUGCCUUGAAAGGACAUGUCCCGUUUGCACUGUGUGUGCUGAGGGAAGGUGUACAGACAGAAGAGAAGAAGAUUUUGGAAGAGAUUGUUGAGCAAGUUCGAAAAAACAUUGGUCCAGUGGCAGCUUUCCAGAAGGGAGUGUUUGUGAAGCACUUACCAAAGACACGUUCUGGCAAGAUACCGCGUUCCGCCCUUUCCGCCCUUGUCAGUGGGAAGCCGUACAGCAUAACACCAACCAUUGAAGAUGAUAGUGUGUUUAAACACAUUGAAGAAGUGCUGAAGA